GGGCCCGCACAAGCAGCGGAGCAUGUGGUUUAAUUCGACGCAACGCGAAGAACCUUACCAGGGCUUAAAUGCAGAACGACCGGGGUGGAAACACCCCCUUCUUCGGACGGUCUGCAAGGUGCUGCAUGGUUGUCGUCAGCUCGUGCUGUGAAGUGUCGGGUUAAGUCCCAUAACGAGCGCAACCCCUAUUUCUAGUUGCCAGCGGUUCGGCCGGGGACUCUAGAGAAACUGCCAGCGUAAGCUGUGAGGAAGGUGGGGAUGACGUCAAAUCAUCACGGCCCUUACGUCCUGGGCCACACACGUGCUACAAUGGUGGGGACAACGAGUCGCUAACCCGCGAGGGUAAGCUAAUCUUCAAACCCCAUCUCAGUUCGGAUCGGAGUCUGCAACUCGACUCCGUG
rnacentral:rRNA from 1 species